rnacentral:misc_RNA from 1 species
AAGGAGUCGAACAUUUAUGCGAGUGUUUGGGUGUCAAACCCUCACGCGUAAUGAAAGUGAACGGAGGUGAGAGCCCUUACGGGUGCAUCAUCGACCGAUCCUGAUGUCUUCGGAUGGAUUUGAGUAAGAGCAUAACUGUUCGGACCCGAAAGAUGGUGAACUAUGCGUGGAUAGGGUGAAGCCAGAGGAAACUCUGGUGGAGGCUCGCAGCGGUUCUGACGUGCAAAUCGAUCGUCAAAUCUGCGCAUGGGGGCGAAAGACUUAUCGAACCAUCUAGUAGCUGGUUACCGC